rnacentral:rRNA from 1 species
UACAGAGGUCUCAAGCGUUGUUCGGAUUCAUUGGGCGUAAAGGGUGCGUAGGCGGCGCGGUAAGUCGGGUGUGAAAUCUCCACGCUCAACGUGGAGGGGCCAUUCGAAACUGCCGUGACUCGAGUCCGGUAGGGGAGUGUGGAAUUCCCGGUGUAGCGGUGAAAUGCGCAGAUAUCGGGAGGAACACCAGUAGCGAAGGCGGCACUCUGGGCCGGUACUGACGCUGAGGAGCGAAGGCGUGGGGAGCGAACAGG